rnacentral:rRNA from 1 species
CCUACGGGAGGCAGCAGUGAGGAAUAUUGGUCAAUGGGCGCGAGCCUGAACCAGCCAAGUAGCGUGAAGGAUGACUGCCCUACGGGUUGUAAACUUCUUUUAUAAAGGAAUAAAGUGAGGCACGUGUGCCUUUUUGUAUGUACUUUAUGAAUAAGGAUCGGCUAACUCCGUGCCAGCAGCCGCGGUAAUACGGAGGAUCCGAGCGUUAUGCGGAUUUAUUGGGUUUAAAGGGAGCGUAGUUGGGUUGUUAAGUCAGUUGUGAAAGUUUGCGGCUAAACCGUAAAAUUGCAAUUGAGACUGGCAGCCUAGAGUACAGUAGAGGUAGGCGGAAUUCGUGGUGUAGCGGUGAAAUGCUUAGAUAUCACGAAGAACACCGAUUGCGAAGGCAGCCUACUAAACUGCCACUGACAUUGAUGCUCGAAAGUGUGGGUAUCAAACAGGAUUAGAUACCCCUGUAGUC